CGGAGAGGGAGCAUGAGAAACGGCUACUACAACUACGGUUCGGCAGCAGGGAAGAAAAUUGGCCAAUCCUAAUUCAGGGAGCCAGUGACAAGAAAUAGCAAGCUGGGAAACCUAGUUUCUACGGCAUUGAAAUGAGAAAAGUGUAAAUCUCUUAGCGAGGAACAAUUGGAGGGCAAGUCAUGGUGCCAGCAGCCGCGGUAAUUCCAGCUCCAAUAGCGUAUAUUAAAGUUGUUGCAGUUAAAAAGCUCGUAGUUGAACUUCUGUUCAGGUUUAUAACGACUCGUCGUGUAAAACUGGACAUACGUUUGCAAACUAAAAUCGGCCUUUACUGGUUCGACUUAGGGAGUAAACAUUUUACUGUGAAAAAAUUAGAGUGUUCCAGGCAGGUUUUAGCCCGAAUACAUUAGCAUGGAAUAAUGGAAUAGGACUAAGUCCAUUUUAUUGGUUCUUGGAUUUGGUAAUGAUUAAUAGGGACAGUUGGGGGCAUUAGUAUUUAAUAGUCAGAGGUGAAAUUCUUGGAUUUAUUAAGGACUAACUAAUGCGAAAGCAUUUGCCAAAGAUGUUUUCAUUAAUCAAGAACGAAAGUUAGGGGAUCAAAGACGAUCAGAUACCGUCGUAGUCUUAACUAUAAACUAUACCGACUCGGGAUCGGCUGGAAUAAAUGUCCAGUCGGCACCGUAUGAGAAAUCAAAGUCUUUGGGUUCUGGGGGAAGUAUGGUACGCAAGUCUGAAACUUAAAGGAAUUGACGGAACAGCACACCAGAAGUGGAACCUGCGGCUUAAUUUGACUCAACACGGGGAAACUCACGAGCGCAAGACAGAGAAGGGAUUGACAGAUUGAGAGCUCUUUCUUGAUUCUUUGGGUGGUGGUGCAUGGCCGUUCUUAGUUGGUGGAGUGAUUUGUCUGGUUAAUUCCGUUAACGAACGAGACCUUAACCUGCUAACUAGUCUGCUUGUGAACAACAGGUUGUACUUCUUAGAGGGACUAUUGUGCAAGAAGCCAAUGGAAGUUUAAGGCAAUAACAGGUCUGUGAUGCCCCUAGACGUGCUCGGCCGCACGCGCGUUACAAUGACUGGCGCAGAAAGUAUUUCCUGUCCUGGGAAGGUACGGGUAAUCUUAUUAAUACCAGUCGUGUUAGGGAUAGUUCUUUGGAAUUGUGGAUCUUGAACGAGGAAUUUCUAGUAAGUGCAAGUCAUCAGCUUGCGUUGAUUAUGUCCCUGCCGUUUGUACA
rnacentral:rRNA from 1 species